UUCCCAGAUAUGUCAGGACGAAGUAUCUGGAUAGACGUGUUGCUUGAGAGUCAAGGUUCUAACCAUGUAUAGUGGGACGCAGGUGUUUUGGCAGAUUAUGUUUCUUCGUAUGGAAUGACCCUCAGACAGAGUAGUGAGAUUAUCUGAAGAGAAAUGUGAGUAACAUUCUUUCCCUUGGUUGGAUAGAUGUGAAGAGUUGGUUUUUCGCGAUGAUUGAAAGGAAUUCGAGGACGAAUUCAAUUUAAGGGGGGGAGAAUGUAAUAUCCCAUAUUAAUCUAAGCAUAAUUAAGAGAUACUAAGAAGAAAUGUGUAUUAUUAUAGUGGAUUAGUUAGAAUCCAACUAAGUGGCAUAUUGGUAAUUACCACUUAGUUGGAGGGCAUUAUGGACAUUUAACUCUAUUGCAUGGGCUUAAGGGCAUGUUUGGUUGGUUAGUUGUUACAAAUCAGAUUUUUGGAAAGAGGGACUUAGUAGCAAGUGGGAGAAAGAAGAAAAUCAUGUUCAUCCUUUGCAUUUUCGCAACUCUUGAUACAGCUCCACUAAAUCAGCUUCUGUUUUGAAGGAGAAAAACGAGUUUGAAGUUGGGUGGUCAAUGCUGAAUGUGUAUGAAGGUGAGCUACGAAUUUCUUGCUAAUGGAGAUGGAAGUUUGAGCAAGAGGGAGAUACAAUAGUAGCAAGGGCACCAUCUCAACCUCUAUUAAUCCAAGGUGCAGUUUAGUAGCGUUUAGUCAGUAGCAGGUUUGGACUAAAGACUUGGAAGUAGUGAUGGCUCGGAGACCUCGUCAGAUCUCAUUUUCCGCUGUGCAGGAUCCAUUGAAGACACAUGUUUUGUAAUUAUUAUUAUUAUUUCAUGUUGUAUUCUAAAUGGAUCAUCUUGUAUCCUUAGCUUUUGUAUGUACUCAAUAUCAAUUUUAACGUUUCAUGCAUAAUAUACUAGUCAGUUAUGUAUGGGGUGUUACAGUUGGUAUCAGAGCAGGUCGAUUCUCGGCCGAGCCAUGAGACAUCACUAGCAAUUCCUUUUCCUCCUCUCAAGUGUGCGUUGCUAGCCUGAUUUUUACAGAAAACUCACUCAGUUGUUGAACUUGAUCAACUCAUCGACCGAGUGUGAGACAGUAGAAUUACGGCAGAGCCGCCACGAGGACUCGUAAAACCUGCAAGGUUGUGAACCUAAGUUGUUGGAGUGAGAUGAGUAAUGAAUUGUUGGACGUUUUAAGUGGAUGAUAUUGGAGUCGUCAAGCUUAAGGAGAGCGUUUGACGCAAAGGAGUAAUACCCGAACUGUCAAAGUGUGGAUCGAGACAACUAGAACCCCUAGGAUUUUGAUUGGACGGAGUGAAACUUUCUCUAAGUCUUGGUAAUAGCAAGGGAAAAUCCAAAUAGGAUUGAGUAGGAGCCUUAUAAGUGAGAUUCUCCGAAGGUGUUGAGCUGUGAAUUAGUAGGAUUCAGUACUGAUGAUGCUGUCGGUGUUAAGUGUGACGGGUGAGCUGAUAGGACAAAAUGGCCUCUGGAAAU